GAUGAACGCUGGCGGCGUGCCUAAUACAUGCAAGUCGAGCGAACGGACGAGAAGCUUGCUUUUCUGAUGUUAGCGGCGGACGGGUGAGUAACACGUGGAUAACCUACCUAUAAGACUGGGAUAACUUCGGGAAACCGGAGCUAAUACCGGAUAAUAUUUUGAACCGCAUGGUUCAAAAGUGAAAGACGGUCUUGCUGUCACUUAUAGAUGGAUCCGCGCUGCAUUAGCUAGUUGGUAAGGUAACGGCUUACCAAGGCAACGAUGCAUAGCCGACCUGAGAGGGUGAUCGGCCACACUGGAAUUGAGACACGGUCCAGACUCCUACGGGAGGCAGCAGUAGGGAAUCUUCCGCAAUGGGCGAAAGCCUGACGGAGCAACGCCGCGUGAGUGAUGAAGGUCUUCGGAUCGUAAAACUCUGUUAUUAGGGAAGAACAUAUGUGUAAGUAACUGUGCACAUCUUGACGGUACCUAAUCAGAAAGCCACGGCUAACUACGUG
rnacentral:rRNA from 1 species